rfam:Candidatus Stoquefichus sp. KLE1796 genomic scaffold Scaffold102, whole genome shotgun sequence.
GUACAAACAAGGCAAAGUUGUUGAAAAACAAUGACGCAAAACUAUAGGGUCUAAACUUUUUAAGUAUGACAGCCAGUUGCACUA